AUCCAAUCGCUUCCGUUUCCGAGGAAGGGGAUGCAGCCGUUGCUUUGCGGGGGAGGCGGCGAGGGAGAGGGGCCGACGAAGAAAGCGAAGAGGUGGCAGCCGCGUGUCGAAAGAGAUUCGAAUAUAUACCCCUUCAAACCUCGCGGGAAGUUGGCUGAUGGCAAGAGCAGUAUUCCCUCGCUAGAUGAUCGAGCGUCGGGCUCACUUUUGUUCAUCAACGGAGCGAUCGAUUAGUAAGCAGCGGAGGACUCAGGUUCAGUUAUCGAGGGAAUAUUCUACAUCUCAGGCAAAUGAGAACUGCUGAGGUCGGGACUCAUUGUCAGAGGUCUCGGCAUCUUUGAGAGGAGUGGGUGGAACGCCUGCCGGUGCCCCACCGUUUCGAUCUUAGCGUGUGCGUAAGAAUGCAUACACAGCUUGCAAUUUAUACGUCGACGCACCUCGUGCGAGCGAAUGCGCGUUUACCUGCGUAGAUAGACGCGAAAGAG